rnacentral:lncRNA from 1 species
GGCUAAUUCUGCAAGCCUUAAUAUACAAAAAAAUUUAAAAGGUAUAGCAGCAAUCAUACAAAAACAUCAGGUUGCAACUUCAUUUGUACCUCAAGGAGCCAUUUCUACUGCCAGACAAGAGAACUUUUUUUUCAAUUUGACCCUGUGGUGUUUGAACAUCAAUUCUUGUGCGCUGUAAAGCACCAUCACCCAAUUUAUCUGUCCCACGAUAUUUCCAAACCUGACAAUAUAACAUGUUAAAAGUUUAUAAGCAGUCAUUUAUGCAGACUUGCUCAUGAUAAGAGAAAAUAAAUAAAGAUUUUUGUUGCAUCUAUUAAAAACAAUUUUUUUUAUAAAAACAAGUUUAUUACAGAUAGAAAGAGAAGUUACAAUUUGAAUGAGGAUAAGCCACCUCCAAGAAAUUAAAACAAUUGCAAGUUGUCAACUGAUGCAAGCCAAAUAGGGUUGAUUUGUCCAAUUAUAGAUUUAGGGUUAAAGAAAACUUAAACAUCACACCUUGGAUUUCUUAGACAUCACAUCUAAAAAAUCUUAAGUAUCACAGUUAAGGCUUUGUUUGCAUCAUAAAACCAGAAAAUUAAGAAAGUCUCAAAAUAUUAUUGAAUAAAUCUCAAUUAUCCAAUAAGUGAAAUUAUAAGUUAUUUAUAAUAAUUUUUAAGCAACUUUUUUUAAAUAGAAUAAAAAAGUAAUACUAAUAAUACUAGAAAUACUAAUCCUAAUACAAAUAGAAAAAUGCUAUUAAGAACAAAAAUACUAAGCUAUCAAAACUAUAACAAUACUCCUAAAUAAUAUAAUAAUAGAUUCCUAACCAGUAUUGUUUUACAAUUAAUAUGAUUAUAAUUUUUUAUUUAUUUAAGGAAUAUAGUGCUAGCCCGUUCUACAUCAUUCUCCCUUGGUUGAAAAAAAACUCUUCCAUGAGUUUUGAACUUGCAAAUAAUGUAAAAUCUUGAUAUUUGAGCUUUUCAGCAAACAUUUUGCUUGGUAAUUCUCUUCAGCAGUAAACAUGAAGGAACAAGUAAACAUUUACGAGUAUGAAGUCAACAUAUUGAACAACUUGCGGUUCAACUUCAUCCUUAAGUUGAACAUCAUUAGUCCCAAGUAUUGGCUUAGGUUCCUCCUUGCAUUGAUCAUCUACAGGACUCUACAUAGGUAGUGAAAUCUUGAAUAACCUUAAUAUGUUUACUCGUAGGAAGACAUGACAGUUCAUCUCGCUUCUCAACCUCGACAAGCACCUCCUUUUUAUCUUUUCCAUUGACUGUAGGUGCUUUUGGAUGUUUAUAUUUAUCCAUCUCUUCUGUAAUCAAAGACUUUAAAAUUAUAUCUUUUAUGCUAUGCAUAAAACUAUAAGUGUUCAUAAUUUCAUCAUACUGAGCCUUUCGAUUACGAAGUCAAGGAUGACCCAGAAAAAUAUAUGCGAACAUCAUAUGAACUACAUGAAACAAGAUUGAAUCACUACAGUUGCCAUGAAGAUCAGAGACGAGUUUUUUAUGUUAAAGUUACCAAAAUGCUCGACUCAUUCGUCCAUACUAGUAUAUACGGUGGGGACGCAGUUGGCGUUCAAAUAUUGAGUCGUUCAACAGUAGAUCUUGAAAUAAUAUUUCAGCAACACUCUUCAUGAAUGACGAGUUUCUUAUAUUUGUUUGCACAGCAUGCUACAGUUUGAAAAUUGGAGAAUACUUUUG